GACAGAGGGUGCAAACGUUGUUCGGAAUUACUGGGCGUAAAGCGUGUGUAGGCGGUCCGCUAAGUCGGGUGUGAAACGCCCUGGGCUCAACCCAGGAAGUGCACUCGAAACUGGCGGGCUAGAGUAUCGGAGAGGUUGGUGGAAUUCUCGGUGUAGAGGUGAAGUUCGUAGAUAUCGAGAGGAACACCGGUGGCGAAGGCGGCCAACUGGACGAAUACUGACGCUGAGACACGAAAGCGUGGGGAGCAAACAGG
rnacentral:rRNA from 1 species